UAAAUGUUAUCAUAGGUAUGUAUGUAUAGGAAAAAACAUAGUAUAGUAUAGUAUCGCCCAUGGAUGGGGGGACUACUAUUUUUAUUGGAUCUUCAGAAUUGUUGAAGAGUUUGGGGUUAAUCACCAGUAUUAUUAUUCCUGUUGAGUCCUGGACCUAGACAAAGUGGUUGUAAAUGUGCACAAUGGGUGCAGUUGCUCUAGCUGCUCUCAAGUGAUGGUAACAUAAGGUCAAAGUGUGCAUUUAAGGCCAUUCCCUUAGUUUGAUUAAUGUGCUUUGCUUUAGUAAACCUUUGGUGCAGUUAAAUGGGGUUCUAAGAUUGUCAGAUAUAAACAUUGGUUCAUAAUUUACUUAUCAUUUAAAAAGCAAUAAAAAGCCCUGUUUAACUUCUAUCUGGAGUGGAUUUUAAAGCUGUUGCAAGCUUACUGAAAUGAAGUGUGGAGUUUUAAAGUAGCAACCAUAACUCUUCUAACUAUACUUACACGAAGGUAUUCUUAGAAAAAUAUAAAACUGAUUUUUGAAUUGUAUGUGUUUCUGAUUGGCCUUCUCUAUCCUACCUUGCAGGAUUAGUGGACCUGAAAAUAAUUGGCAGUCUUAAGCCCUCCAGAGCUAUAUUUUGGCAAGGUUUUACAAAAUGCUAACUACCUGCAUUUCUCUUCCUGAUUGGUUACCAGUAAAACUUUUAUUGCUGUUACCCAUUUUUGAUGGGUGUCUCCUCAAUGUAAGAUUCCUGUGGGUAAGUUUAAACCCCUCAACGUCUAGCACCUUCUUAAAUGUAGAAAAUUAUUUUUUCUUGCUGUCUCUUUGAAUUUUCUGGCUUCUGUUGUCUGUGUGUCUGUGCACAUGUGCAUUGGGGGUGCUUUUCCUUAGACUUAGAAGCCUAUUUUGACAGGAUGCAAUAAGUGGCCCUUUAAUUUAUUAUGUGUGAAGUCAGUUAAGAUUAGGUGAACGUAGAUUAUUUUCCAAACUCGUGAGUUGUUUUGCCUUGGAAAUUCAAUGCAUACCACAAUGGAAUCUUUGCAGGGGCUUGAAAACCAGCCUGUGAUGAAUUUUAGCUUGUGACAACCUUAAAAAGUAGCUGCUCCCUUAGUAUACUUCAUUUAAAUAGCCCUGCGUGUCUUAAAUUCUCAUUCUGAGCAUUCCAGUUAAUUUUCUGUGUGGGGUGUGAGUGUGA